UCUUCGGACUGAGUACAGCGGCGGACGGGUGAAGUAAAGCGUAGGAAUCUACCUGGUAGGUGGGGGAAUAACGUUAGGGGAACUACAAACUAAUACCGCAUACGCCCGUACGGGGGAAAGCGGGGGACCUUCGGGCCUCGCGCUAUCAGAUGAGCCUGCGUAGGAUUAGCUAGUUGGUGAGGUAAAGGCUCACCAAGGCGACGAUCCUUAGCUGGUCUGAGAGGAUGAUCAGCCACACUGGGACUGAGACACGGCCCAGACUCCUACGGGAGGCAGCAGUGGGGAAUAUUGCGCAAUGGGCGAAAGCCUGACGCAGCCAUGCCGCGUGUAUGAAGAAGGCCUUAGGGUUGUAAAGCACUUUCAAUUGGGAAGAAAAGUUGGUCGUUAAUAGCGGCCAGCCCUGACAUUACCUUUAGAAGAAGGACCGGCUAACUCCGUG
rnacentral:rRNA from 1 species